GUUUUUCUGAGUGGAGGUUGGCUUGACCGCAGUUUCUCAACUGGUGCGAUAAUAAUGAACACUGGCCCUGAGAUACAGACAAUUACAGGGGAUUUCUUUGUUGUUUUGAGUGAUGCACAUUCACUGCUAUAGUAAAGGUCUAAUGAACAUUGUCCCUCAUAAAUCUAACAUGGCCUACACGGAAAUAUCUGUCACUAUCACAUACGUAUUAAUCAAGGGAAGAAAGUCAUUCAAGUUUUGAACAACAUAACGGACAGUGACUAGAGAAGGAACCAUCUUUGAUGCUCAUCAAGGCAAAGGACCUGACCACAUGGAUUUGUGUAAAAUGCUGAGUGCCACUGAGGACACCAGACAGAAAAUUGAACUAAAUUACUGCAAGAAAGAUGCAUGGCACCACAAGAACUGAUGACUCAGAUACAGAUAGAGACUUUGUUAUCUUUUGAUUAGAUGUAACAAAUCAAUCAUAUAUUUAUCAAUCAUUAAAAAUGAUCUUAA